rnacentral:tRNA from 1 species
GCCGGCGUAGCUCAACUGGCUAGAGCGGCUGACUUGUAAUCAGCAGGCUGCGGGUUCGAGUCCCACCGUCGGCUCCA